GAAGCAUCCGGAACGUUUGAUGUCACACCUCAAGACCAAGAUGCAUCCAAACAGGUUUUGGGAAACUUGCCACGCAACUACGCAAACUUGGAUGUUGCCAGAGCUGAGUAUGUCAGCCCGUUAGAGCACUCCCAGGCAAAGGGGGGCCGUUCUUUAGCCGCUAUACUCGAGGCGCCCUGCACGGUGAAGUGGUCCAAUUCUUACCAAAUCAAGCCCGCGGAGGAGGGAGGAAAGUGU